UACAGAGGUCUCAAGCGUUGUUCGGAUUCAUUGGGCGUAAAGGGUGCGUAGGUGGCAUGGUAAGUUGAAGGUGAAAUCUCGGAGCUCAACUCCGAAACUGCCUUCAAUACUGCUGUGCUUGAGUGCUGGAGAGGGUCGCGGAAUUCCCGAAGUAGAGGUGAAAUUCGUAGAUAUCGGGAGGAACACCGGUGGCGAAGGCGGCGACCUGGACAGUAACUGACGCUGAGACGCGAAAGCGUGGGUAGCAAACAGG
rnacentral:rRNA from 1 species